UAGAACGCUAGCGGCAGGCUUAACACAUGCAAGUCGAGGGGUAACAUUGUGCUUGCACAGAUGACGACCGGCGCACGGGUGCGUAACGCGUAUAGAACCUACCUUUUACAGAGGGAUAGCCUUUAGAAAUGAAGAUUAAUACCUCAUAGUAUUGCGAUUUGGCAUCAGAUUGUAAUUAAAGAUUUAUUGGUAAAAGAUGGCUAUGCGUCCUAUUAGUUAGUUGGUAAGGUAACGGCUUACCAAGACAUCGAUAGGUAGGGGUCCUGAGAGGGAGAUCCCCCACACUGGUACUGAGACACGGACCAGACUCCUACGGGAGGCAGCAGUGAGGAAUAUUGGACAAUGGAGGAGACUCUGAUCCAGCCAUGCCGCGUGCAGGAAGACUGCCCUAUGGGUUGUAAACUGCUUUUAUACAGGAAGAAACACUAGUACGUGUACUAGCUUGACGGUACUGUAAGAAUAAGGACCGGCUAACUCCGUGCCAGCACGGGGG
rnacentral:rRNA from 1 species